rnacentral:rRNA from 1 species
UUAGUCCUAGCAGUAAACGAUGGCUACUAGGUGUGGGGGGUGUUGACCCCUCCUGUGCCGAAGCUAACGCAUUAAGUAGCCCGCCUGGGGAGUACGGUCGCAAGACUAAAACUCAAAGGAAUUGACGGGGACCCGCACAAGCAGCGGAGCGUGUGGUUUAAUUCGAUGCAACGCGAAGAACCUUACCUGGGCUUGACAUCUAUUUGCAACACUCUGAAAGGGGUGCCUCCUUCGGGACAGAUAGACAGAUGCUGCAUGGCUGUCGUCAGCUCGUGUCGUGAGAUGUUGGGUUAAGUCCCGCAACGAGCGCAACCCUUGUCCUUAGUUGCAUAUCUAAGGAGACUGCCGGUACAAAACCGGA